GGUCCUGAAACUGCAGCUCUCCGGGGCCUCCGGGGUCUCCGGCUCUGCAGGUUCAUACUAUUGUCCGGCUCUGCAGGUUUAUACCAUUGCCUCUGCUGACACUGACCACCCCCAUACACUCCCGAACAGUAAGUGGCGGUAAUGCACCUCAUACGGUUGCAGUCUGCAUGUAAGCAACAGGAGAAGAAGAGGAAGUCGUUCAGCAGGCAGAAUAUUUGAGCUAAGCAGAUACUAUAACGAAUAUGGGUUCUAAAAACAAGAAGCGAGGAGUGCUUCCAAGUCGACCCGAUCAGCCGACUGUGGAGCAAAUGAUUGAUGACGUUAAUAAAGCCUAUCCAAAUGAUCCAAUAUUCAGUGUCCUGAAGGAUAGCAAACAAGAUGCCAGUGAGUCACCAGACAAUGACAUGGAGUCCAUGUACCUUCAGAGUCGGAGAUACUUGGAGCUUAAUGAGCAACUGCACGAGGCCAAGGGUAAACUUGUAAGGCAGAGAGAAGAUCUACAAACAGCUGGAAAGCAGUUGGAACUCAAUGUUGUUCAAGUGAAAGGCAGAGCACUCUGACCAAAGAUUUCAUAUGCACAACACAGUCAUCCUCAGCACCAAUGAAUCUUGAACACCAGUCAUGUCAUCAACCAGUUAUGUCAUUAUUUGGGUUCCCAAAUCGUUUUUAUCAACUGUCUGAGAAAGCAUGUCAAAUAUGUCAUGUAUCAUGAAAUUUAAUUAAUAUAAAACUGUACUCGACACAACUAAUUUCAUAAAAUACCAUUCACUUUUCAUUUGAUGAGAACAUUUAUUAUGACAAACUCCUUGACCUACAUCACAUUGUAUCACAUCACCUGCCUCUAUUUUAUGGCAUUAGAUGUCUACUCAUGCAAAUAUUUCCUGGGAUUAUGCUCUUUGAUUUCAUUAUUUAAAUUUGAUUGAUAAUGUAUACAUUUAUGCCAACAGAAGCAGUAUAUCAUUGUCAAAAUAUCUACUUGGAAUCAUUAAAGCAUUCAAGUUGGAAAAUUCAACAGUAACUACUGUGCUUACAUUUUGUUUCAAGUCAGUUGUAAAUCGUUGUUCUGACUGAAGUUGUUUGAAACCAAAAUUCCAUCACAGACAAUUGGGUUAACUUUCACUAAUUAAGAACAAUAAAUACAUGAAUAAGUACAUGAACUUGAACAAUAAAGUUUACAAGUCUGUUGGCAGUGGCUGUAAAUAAUGUAGACCUACUAUUAAUUGCUGGACUGACCCAUCAUGUGAAACAGAAUGUGAGCUCACAAGAUGGCUAGUUUACCAUGCUGGAUUCUGGGGAUCUUGCAAAGCAAAUUUAACAUCCAUUUUUAUUUAUAGCCAUUAGGGCCAUCACAAAACAUUGCCAAAAUGGUACACCCUAUUUUCUGACAAUUUGUAUUCAUUCACUCAUUUGUCAGAGGGACUGUUGAAGGCUUAUGUAUGUUAACUGAAGGUAUUUCAUAGGCAGAGGCAGAUAUUCUGCCUCUAAACUGUGGAGAUUCACUUCCAGAAACCCCCAAAAUACAGUACUUUUGAGUUUUCUUUGUCAUGUUGUUUUAGUCAACCUCUCACAUGGAUAAGUCCUGUUUCAGCUACACAUACUGUAUAUAUAUAUGUAUAUAUAUAUAUAUAUAUAUACAUAUAUAUAUAUACAUUUUCUAAGGGCUUCAUGUUUGAGAUCUUUGAUGUAACAACACUAACACCAAUACAAUUAAGUAGAUAGUAACACAUUUGUACAUUUACAUGUGUGUAAACAUUUGUAGACACUAAUACCUUUUUCUUUCUUAAAAACUAAUAACCCUUACAUACUCUUUUUCAGAUUGAAAGCAUAUGAUUCCAGUAGCAAACACAAAUAUGUCAUUGCUUUUAAAAUAGUGGAAACAUGUACAGCAAAUACGUUUACAUAGUUAUAUAUGUUGCCUUACAAAGUUCAGAGAAAUGUAUUUGCUAUAAUUUUGUUAACUUUUAAUUUAAAUACCACAAAGGAGAAUGUUAUUUGUCCCGCACUUACAGUUUUAGCAAUUGUAUUCAAAUUCUGGAUAUUAGCUAAGCAUGCAGAAUUAGCAACACAGUCAUUUUCCAUACUGGAAACCUUGUAGGUUGAUGAUAGCAAAUAUUUACAAGACAGAAUAGCCUACAGAAAACACAGCAUUUCAACAAUGCUAAUAAGACAUUAACUGUAGUAUUUCCAAUUAUAAUGCCUGUGGUUGUUAAACAUUAAUGGCUAAUAGUGUUUCAUCUUCAGUAGCAAGUGAUGUUGUAGGUGAAGCACAAAAGGAGAAGCGAGAAAAAUGUAGAUAAGAAACUUUGCAUUUCCAUUUUGUGUUUUACAAAUCUAUACAGAUAAUAUUUUGAAUGUCAACAGUUAACCACAGUGCAUUGUCAAAUAAAACACAAUUGCUUUUUUAUUCAUUGA